UUUAGAUAAUGAAGAUGAAGAUGGUGAAGAUGGAGAUGAGAUGGAAGAUGACAAUCUGAAUCUCCAUCCUCAUCAUUAUCAUAAUGGAGU
rnacentral:pre_miRNA from 1 species